AAUGAACGCUGGUGGCAGACCUAACACAUGCAAGUCGAACGGUACUAUUAUUAAACUUCGGUUUUUUAUAGAUAGUGGCAAACGGGUGAGUAAAGCAUGGGAAUCUACCUAGAAGUUUGGAAUAGCUAUUAGAAAUGAUAGAUAAGUACCAAAUACACCUCGAGAGGGUAAAGUUGACUUCGGUCUUCGCUUUUAAAAAUGAGCCCAUGUUAAAUUAGUUAGUUGGUAGGGUAAUGGCCUUACCAAGAUGAUGAUUUAUAGCUGGUCUUAGAGGAUGAUCAGCCACACUGGAAUUGAGAUACGGUCCAGACUCCGUACGGAGGCAGCAGUGGGAAUAUUGGACAAUGGGCGCAAGCCUGAUCCAGUCAUGCCACGUGAGUG
rnacentral:rRNA from 1 species